rnacentral:tRNA from 1 species
GCAUGGGUGGCGGAAUGGUAGACGCGCUACUUUGAGGGGGUAGUGAGGGGAACCUUGUGCGAGUUCAACUCUCGUCCCAUGCACCA